GGUGUGGUAGCUCAGUGGUUAGGGUGUUGGACUACUGAUCGGAAGGUCAUGGGUUCAAAUCCCAGGUCCACCA